GCUGAGUAGAGCGGCGGACGGGUGAGUAACGCGUAGGAAUCUACCUGGUAGUGGGGGACAACUUGGGGAAACUCAAGCUAAUACCGCAUACGCCCUAAGGGGGAAAGCGGGGGAUCUUCGGACCUCGCGCUAAUAGAUGAGCCUGCGUUAGAUUAGCUUGUUGGUGGGGUAAAGGCCUACCAAGGCGACGAUCUAUAGCUGUUCUGAGAGGAAGAUCAGCCACACUGGGACUGAGACACGGCCCAGACUCC
rnacentral:rRNA from 1 species